GCCUUCGUGGUGUAACGGUAGCACACUCGACUCGUAUUCGAGAUUCCAGGUUCGAGUCCUGGAGAGGACU
rnacentral:tRNA from 1 species